rnacentral:rRNA from 1 species
AUGGUGAGGUGGCAUAGGAAUAGAGAGAGAGGAAAGGCAGCUUUCUGGGAGAUCACACCACAUUAUGCUGAGAAGCUAGAGCUGGAAAAGGAGAGGGCCAGAUACUGCAAACCCAUUCAAGCUGCAUAUGAACCUAUGAUCUUUCAUGUUCCUGGUGAACAUGACUGGAUAAGGACACCUGGACCAGAUAUAGAGCCACCAGAAUUUCAUGUUAGGAGAGGAAGAAAGAAAGAGAAGAGGAUCAAGGGCAAGUUUGAAGUGCCAAAGCCAAAGGACAGCAGUAGAAUGGCCACAAUAACAUGCUCUAACUGUGGUCUCCAAGGCCAUAGAUACACCAACUACAUGAAACAAUUGAAACCAGAUUUGGCUAUGAGGAAAAACAAGCAUGUGACACAUGCAAGAUCACAGCAGCAACCUACACCUGCAAGAUCACAACCCCCACCUGCAAGAUCACAGCAGCAGCCUCCAACUGCAAGAUCACAGCCUCCACCUGCGAGAUCUGGUGCAAGGUCUGGUGCAAGAUCUGGUGCAAGGUCACAGCCAUCGACUAGUGGUGCAAGGCAAUUCACUGCCCCAAGAUAUGCAACUCCUUCUACAUCUUCUGAACCAAGAAGUCAAACUGGUUGGAUGACCUGGUUUUCUGCUAGUGGUAACAAAUGA